rnacentral:rRNA from 1 species
UGACGAAGAAGCACCGGCUAACUCCGUGCCAGCAGCCGCGGUAAUACGGAGGGUGCGAGCGUUAAUCGGAAUUACUGGGCGUAAAGCGCAUGCAGGUGGUUUGUUAAGUCAGAUGUGAAAGCCCGGGGCUCAACCUCGGAAUUGCAUUUGAAACUGGCAAACUAGAGUACUGUAGAGGGGGUAGAAUUUCAGGUGUAGCGGUGAAAUGCGUAGAGAUCUGAAGGAAUACCGGUGGCGAAGGCGGCCCCCUGGACAGAUACUGACACUCAGAUGCGAAAGCGUGGGGAGCAAACAGGAUUAGAUACCCUGGUAG